UUAUCUCUGUCGCUCUCUCUCUCUCUUUAUCUCUGUCGCUCUCUCAUUCGUUCACACACUAACUCCAAGGUCAGCAGUUAUGUUAUCAAACUAUUCCGACUCCAUAGAAACAACAGAAAAACAUAACACCCUCCCGAGUGGCUCAGCUUUCCAAGGCACUGCAUCGCAGUGUUGAGGCGUCACUACAGACCCGGAUUCCAUCCCAGGCUGUGUCGCAGCCGGCCGCGACCGGGAGACUCAUGAGGCAGCACACAAUAGGCCCAGCGUCGUCUGGGUUAGGGGAGGGUUUGGUCGGCCCGGGAUGUCCAUUUCCCAUCGCGCUCUAGUGACUCCUGUGAUGGGCCGGGUGCAGUGCACGCUGACACGGUCACCAGGUGCAUGGUGUUUCCUCCGACACAUUGGUGCGGCUGGCUUCCAGGUUAAGAUGACUGUAGUCUACUGAUGGUGUUAUUAACCCCUCUACUCUCUGUAUCAGACCUGGAGAUGGCUGUAGCCUACUGAUGGUGUUACUAACCCCUCUACUCUCUGUAUCAGACCUGGAGAUGGCUGUAGCCUACUGAUGGUGUUACUAACCCCUCUACUCUCUGUAUCAGACCUGGAGAUGGCUGUGGCCUACUGGAACCUGGUUCUAACUGGUCGAUUCAAGUUCCUGGACCUCUGGAACAGGUUUCUAUUGGAGCAUCAUAAGCGGUCGAUCCCCAAAGACACGUGGAACCUGCUACUGGACUUUGGCAACAUGAUUGCAGACGACAUGUCCAACUACGACGAGGAAGGAGCUUGGCCUGUCCUCAUCGACGACUUUGUGGAAUUUGCCC